UUUUUUACAAUGCUUUCGUGAUUAACAAAAAAAAAAAAAAAAAAAAAAAAAAAAAAAUAGUUAAAAGCGCUAUUCUUGCUUAUAUGAUCAGGGGACGAACAUCAGCGAACCAUGAAAUAGAUCAGACUUAUGGUGUAGACUAUGAUAUGACUAUAAUGAAGUUGUAUAAUGUAAUUUAAAACAAAAAAAAAACGAGGCAGUUUUCAUUUGAAAAUCGAAUAAGAGUAAAAUGGUCAAAACUUAUUGUGAAAUCGUCGAAAUGAUUAUACAAGUAAUAUAUAAUAAUAAUGAUUGAACAAAAAAACAAAUACAAAUCUUCGAAGGUGCGAAGAGUAUCGCCUUGUAUAAUGGAGCGACGUCGUACCUAUACGAAUUAAACUAUAUAGAGGUCGUUCGCCACGACGAUUAUUGUUAUUUUAUUACUAUAAAAAAAAAAAAAAAAAAAAACAGCGUAUUGUGUAGACCUAUAGUUAUAUAGCGUGAAAUUCACGAGUAACCGCUACGCGAAAAUGGAGGGGGUCAGGGGGAGAGGGGAGAGAAAAUGACGCGCGCGCGUGCCUUGCGAUACGACGACGACAAUGAAAAAAAAAAAAAAAAAAAACUCCCCGAAAGUAUACACGGCGAACUGAUACUACCGCCUCGCGGGUGACGCCUCUUAACGAUUACCC